GUAAAGUUCUUUUAUUAAAGAAGAAAAAAUGAUGGAAAAAUCAUUCUGACGGUAUUUAAUGAAUAAGCCCCGGCUAACUAUGUGCCAGCAGCUGCGGUAAUACAUGGGGGGCAAGCGUUAUCCGGAUUUAUUGGGCGUAAAGGGUGUGUAGGCGGUUUGAUAAGUCUAUGGUAUAAGUUCAACGCUUAACGUUGUGAUGCUAUGGAAACUGUUUGACUAGAGUUGGAUAGAGGCAAGUGGAAUUCCAUGUGUAGCGGUAAAAUGCGUAAAUAUAUGGAGGAACACCAGUAGCGAAGGCGGCUUGCUGGGUCUUAACUGACGCUGAGGCACAAAAGCGUGGGGAGCAAACAGGAUUAGAUACCCUGGUAGUCCACGCCGUAAACGAUGAGUACUAAGUGUUGGGUUAAACCAGUGCUGAAGUUAACACACUAAGUACUCCGCCUGAGUAGUACGUACGCAAGUAUGAAACUUAAAGGAAUUGACGGGACUCCGCACAAGCGGUGGAUCAUGUUGUUUAAUUCGAAGAUACACGAAAAACCUUACCAGGUCUUGACAUACUCUGCAAAGCUAUAGAAAUAUAGUGGAGGUUAUCAGGGAUACAGGUGGUGCAUGGUUGUCGUCAGCUCGUGUCGUGAGAUGUUGGGUUAAGUCCCGCAACGAGCGCAACCCUUAUCGCUAGUUACCAUCAUUUAGUUGGGCACUUUAGUGAGACUGCCAAUGAUAAAUUGGAGGAAGGUGGGGAUUACGUCAAAUCAUCAUGCCCCUUAUGACCUGGGCUACAAACGUGAUACAAUGGCUGUUCAAAGGGUG
rnacentral:rRNA from 1 species